rnacentral:rRNA from 1 species
GUCAACAGCUAUGCCACCCUGAAUGCACCUCAUCUCAGAACCUAAGCAGGGUCAGGCCUGGUUAGUACUUGGAUGGGAGAAGUUGUGGAUGCUCAAGAUA